rnacentral:lncRNA from 1 species
CCUCCAGGCCCUGCCUUCUGCCUGCACAUUCUGCCCUGAUUUCCGGAACCUGGAAGCCUAGGCAGGCAGUGGGGAACUCUGACUCGCCUGUGCUCUGGAGCUUGAUCCGAAAGCUUCCACAGUGAGGACUGCUCCGUGGGGGUAAGAGAGCACCAGGCACUGAGGCCUGGGAGUUCCACAGACCAACACCCCUGCUCCUGGCGGCUCCCACCCGGGACUUAGACCCUCAGGUCCCUAAUAUCCCGGAGGUGCUCUCAAUCAGAAAGGUCCUGCUCCGCUUCGCAGUGGAAUGGAACGGAUUUAGAAGCCUGCAGUAGGGGAGUGGGGAGUGGAGAGAGGGAGCCCAGAGUUACAGACGGCGGCGAGAGGAAGGAGGGGCGUCUUUAUUUUUUUAAGGCCCCAAAGAGUCUGAUGUUUACAAGACCAGAAAUGCCACGGCCGCGUCCUGGCAGAGAAAAGGCUGAAAUGGAGGACCGGCGCCUUCCUUAUAAGUAUGCACAUUGGCGAGAGAAGUGCUGCAACCUAAACCAGCAAUUACACCCAAGCUCGUUGGGGCCUAAGCCAGUACCGACCUGGUAGAAAAAGCAACCACGAAGCUAGAGAGAGAGCCAGAGGAGGGAAGAGAGCGCCAGACGAAGGUGAAAGCGAACCACGCAGAGAAAUGCAGGCAAGGGAGCAAGGCGGCAGUUCCCGGAACAAACGUGGCAGAGGGCAAGACGGGCACUCACAGACAGAGGUUUAUGUAUUUUUAUUUUUUAAAAUCUGAUUUGGUGUUCCAUGAGGAAAAGGGAAAAUCUAGGGAACGGGAGUACAGAGAGAAUAAUCCGGGUCCUAGCUCGCCACAUGAACGCCCAGAGAACGCUGGAAAAACCUGAGCGGGUGCCGGGGCAGCACCCGGCUCGGGUCAGCCACUGCCCCACACCGGGCCCACCAAGCCCCGCCCCUCGCGGCCACCGGGGCUUCCUUGCUCUUCUUAUCAUCUCCAUCUUUAUGAUGAGGCUUGUUAACAAGACCAGAGAGCUGGCCAAGCACCUCUAUCUCAGCCGCGCCCGCUCAGCCGAGCAGCGGUCGGUGGGGGGACUGGGAGGCGCUAAUUAAUUGAUUCCUUUGGACUGUAAAAUAUGGCGGCGUCUACACGGAACCCAUGGACUCAUAAACAAUAUAUCUGUUGGGCGUGAGUGCACUGUCUCUCAAAUAAUUUUUCCAUAGGCAAAUGUCAGAGGGUUCUGGAUUUUUAGUUGCUAAGGAAAGAUCCAAAUGGGACCAAUUUUAGGAGGCCCAAACAGAGUCCGUUCAGUGUCAGAAAAUGCUUCCCCAAAGGGGUUGGGAGUGUGUUUUGUUGGAAAAAAGCUUGGGUUAUAGGAAAGCCUUUCCCUGCUACUUGUGUAGACCCAGCCCAAUUUAAGAAUUACAAGGAAGCGAAGGGGUUGUGUAGGCCGGAAGCCUCUCUGUCCCGGCUGGAUGCAGGGGACUUGAGCUGCUCCGGAAUUUGAGAGGAACAUAGAAGCAAAGGUCCAGCCUUUGCUUCGUGCUGAUUCCUAGACUUAAGAUUCAAAAACAAAUUUUUAAAAGUGAAACCAGCCCUAGCCUUUGGAAGCUCUUGAAGGUUCAGCACCCACCCAGGAAUCCACCUGCCUGUUACACGCCUCUCCAAGACACAGUGGCACCGCUUUUCUAACUGGCAGCACAGAGCAACUCUAUAAUAUGCUUAUAUUAGGUCUAGAAGAAUGCAUCUUGAGACACAUGGGUAACCUAAUUAUAUAAUGCUUGUUCCAUACAGGAGUGAUUAUGCAGUGGGACCCUGCUGCAAACGGGACUUUGCACUCUAAAUAUAGACCCCAGCUUGGGACAAAAGUUGCAGUAGAAAAAUAGACAUAGGAGAACACUUAAAUAAGUGAUGCAUGUAGACACAGAAGGGGUAUUUAAAAGACAGAAAUAAUAGAAGUACAGAAGAACAGAAAAAAAAUCAGCAGAUGGAGAUUACCAUUCCCAAUGCCUGAACUUCCUCCUGCUAUUAAGAUUGCUAGAGAAUUGUGUCUUAAACAGUUCAUGAACCCAGAAGAAUGCAAUUUCAAUGUAUUUAGUACACACACAGUAUGUAUAUAAACACAACUCACAGAAUAUAUUUUCCAUACAUUGGGUAGGUAUGCACUUUGUGUAUAUAUAAUAAUGUAUUUUCCAUGCAGUUUUAAAAUGUAGAUAUAUUAAUAUCUGGAUGCAUUUUCUGUGCACUGGUUUUAUAUGCCUUAUGGAGUAUAUACUCACAUGUAGCUAAAUAGACUCAGGACUGCACAUUCCUUGUGUAGGUUGUGUGUGUGUGGUGGUUUUAUGCAUAAAUAAAGUUUUACAUGUGGUGAAUAUAAA